AAGCCUGAUGCAGCCAUGCCGCGUGUGUGAAGAAGGCCUUCGGGUUGUAAAGCACUUUCAGCAGUGAGGAAGGCGGAUACGUUAAUAGCGUGUUCGUUUGACGUUAGCUGCAGAAGAAGCACCGGCUAACUCCGUGCCAGCAGCCGCGGUAAUACGGAGGGUGCGAGCGUUAAUCGGAAUUACUGGGCGUAAAGCGCAUGCAGGCGGUUUGUUAAGCAAGAUGUGAAAGCCCCGGGCUCAACCUGGGAACCGCAUUUUGAACUGGCAGGCUAGAGUCUUGUAGAGGGGGGUAGAAUUUCAGGUGUAGCGGUGAAAUGCGUAGAGAUCUGAAGGAAUACCGGUGGCGAAGGCGGCCCCCUGGACAAAGACUGACGCUCAGAUGCGAAAGCGUGGGGAGCAAACAGGAUUAGAUACCCUGGUAGUCCACGCUGUAAACGAUGUCUACUUGGAGGUUGUGACCUAGAGUCGUGGCUUUCGGAGCUAACGCGUUAAGUAGACCGCCUGGGGAGUACGGUCGCAAGAUUAAAACUCAAAUGAAUUGACGGGGGCCCGCACAAGCGGUGGAGCAUGUGGUUUAAUUCGAUGCAACGCGAAGAACCUUACCUACUCUUGACAUC
rnacentral:rRNA from 1 species